UGAUCCUAGCGGCGGACGGGUGAGUAACACGUGGGCAACCUGCCUCAUAGAGAGGAAUAGCCUUCCGAAGGAGAUUAAUACCUCAUAACAUUGCAGUUUCGCAUGGAACAGCAAUUAAAGGAGUAAUCCGCUAUGAGAUGGGCCCGCGGCGCAUUAGCUAGUUGGUGAGGUAACGGCUCACCAAGGCGACGAUGCGUAGCCGACCUGAGAGGGUGAUCGGCCACAUUGGGACUGAGACACGGCCCAGACUCCUACGGGAGGCAGCAGUGGGGAAUAUUGCACAAUGGGGGAAACCCUGAUGCAGCCAACGCCGCGUGAGUGAUGACGGCCUUCGGGUUGUAAAGCUCUGUCUUCAGGGACGAUAAUGACGGUACCUGAGGAGGAAGCCACGGCUAACUACGUGCCAGCAGCUGC
rnacentral:rRNA from 1 species